rnacentral:rRNA from 1 species
GACGAACGCUGGCGGCGUGCUUAACACAUGCAAGUCGAACGAUGAAGCCUAGCUUGCUAGGUGGAUUAGUGGCGAACGGGUGAGUAAUACGUGAGUGACCUACCUUUGACUCUGGGAUAAGCCUGGGAAACUGGGUCUAAUACCGGAUACGACCAAUCUCCGCAUGGGGUGUUGGUGGAAAGCGUUAUGGAGUGGUUUUAGAUGGGCUCACGGCCUAUCAGCUUGUUGGUGAGGUAAUGGCUUACCAAGGCGACGACGGGUAGCCGGCCUGAGAGGGUGACCGGCCACACUGGGACUGAGACACGGCCCAGACUCCUACGGGAGGCAGCAGUGGGGAAUAUUGCACAAUGGGCGCAAAGCCUGAUGCAAGCGACG